UGGAGCGCUUAGAAGUGAGAAUGCCGGUGUGAGUAACGUAAGGUAGGUGAGAAUCCUACCCACUAUUUGACCAAGGUUUCCAGGGUCAAGUUCGUCUUCCCUGGGUUAGUCGGGACCUAAGGCGAGGCUGAAAAGCGUAGUCGAUGGACAACAGGUUUAUAUUCCUGUACUGCUUAUAGGACUGAUGGAGUGACGGAGAAAGCUAGGAAGAGCCAGUUAUUGGAUUCUGGUCUAAGCGUUUAGGUUGAUGCACAGGAAAAUCCGUGAUAUCGAUAAGACUGAAGCGUGAUGGCGACGUGGUCUACGGACCGCUAAGUCUUCUGAAGCUAUGCUUCCAAGAAAAACUUCUAAAGAUAUGUUAUAAGUACCCGUACCUAGAACCAACACAGGUGGUCAAGGAGAGAAUCCUAAGGUGAGCGAGAGAACUAUGGUUAAGGAACUCGGCAAAAUUACCCCGUAACUUCGGAAUAAGGGGAGGUUUCUUCGGAAACCCGCAGUGAAUAGGUCCAGGCAACUGUUUACCAAAAACACAGGUCUCUGCUAAAGCGUAAGCUGAUGUAUAGGGGCUGACGCCUGCCCAGUGCUGGAAGGUUAAGAUGAUUUGUUAGGUGGACGAAAGUCGAUAACACCGAAGCUUUGAUUUGAAGCCCCAGUGAACGGCGGCGAUAACUAUAAUCGUCCAAAGGUAGCGAAAUUCCUUGUCAGGUAAGUUCUGACCCGCACGAAAGGCGUAAUGAUCUGGACGCUGUCUCAACCAUAGACUCGGUGAAAUCUUAAUACCUGUGAAAAUGCAGGUUACCCGCGACAGGACGGAAAGACCCCAUGGAGCUUUACUGUAGCUUGAUAUUGAAGUUAGGUAAUUUAUGUAGAGGAUAGGUGGUAGACUAUGAUGUAUGGACGCCAGUUCAUACGGAGUCGCCCUUGGAAUACCACCCUUAAAUUAUUUGACCUCUAACUUACUCCCGUUAUCCGGGAGGAGGACAGUGUCUGGUGGGCAGUUUGACUGGGGCGGUCGCCUCCCAAAGAGUAACGGAGGCGCUCAAAGGUUCCCUCAGAUUGGUCGGAAAUCAAUCAAAGAGUGUAAUGGUAUAAGGGAGCUUGACUGCGAGACCUACAAGUCGAGCAGGUGCGAAAGCAGGACAUAGUGAUCUGGCGGUAGAAUAUGGAAUUGCCGUCGCUUAACGGAUAAAAGUUACCCUGGGGAUAACAGGCUGAUAGCGCCCAAUAGUUCACAUAGACGGCGCUGAUUGGCACCUCGAUGUCGGCUCGUCACAUCCUGGAGGUGGAUUCGCUUCCAAGGGUUGGGCUGUUCGCCCAUUAAAGUGGCAC
rnacentral:rRNA from 1 species